rnacentral:rRNA from 1 species
UGGGGAAUUUUGGACAAUGGGCGAAAGCCUGAUCCAGCAAUGCCGCGUGUGUGAAGAAGGCCUUCGGGUUGUAAAGCACUUUUGUCCGGAAAGAAAUCCUUGGCUCUAAUACAGUCGGGGGAUGACGGUACCGGAAGAAUAAGCACCGGCUAACUACGUGCCAGCAGCCGCGGUAAUACGUAGGGUGCAAGCGUUAAUCGGAAUUACUGGGCGUAAAGCGUGCGCAGGCGGUUUGCUAAGACCGAUGUGAAAUCCCCGGGCUCAACCUGGGAACUGCAUUGGUGACUGGCAGGCUAGAGUAUGGCAGAGGGGGGUAGAAUUCCACGUGUAGCAGUGAAAUGCGUAGAGAUGUGGAGGAAUACCGAUGGCGAAGGCAGCCCCCUGGGCCAAUACUGACGCUCAUGCACGAAAGCGUGGGGAGCAAAACAGGAUUAGAUACCCUGGUAGUCCACGCCCUAAACGAUGUCAACUAGUUGUUGGGGAUUCAUUUCCUUAGUAACGUAGCUAACGCGUGAAGUUGACCNCCUGGGGAGUACGGUCGCAAGAUUAAAACUCAAAUGAAUUGACGGGGUCAUAGCUG